AGCUCCAAUAGCGUAUAUUAAAGUUGUUGUGGUUCAAAAGCUCGUAGUUGGAUCUCAACGGCCUUGGAGCGGUUAUCAUGCUUGAUAGACUGCUCUGUAGGCCGUGCUUUUGCUGGAGGUUUAGGGGUGCUCUUAAUCGAGUGUCUCUGGAUGCCAGCAGGUUUACUUUGAAAAAAUUAGAGUGCUCAAAGCAGGCUUUUCACGCUUGAAUAUUCGUGCAUGGAAUAAUGGAAUAGGAACUCGUUUCUAUUUUGUUGGUUUUCGGAAAUCGAGUUAAUGAUUAACAGGGACAAUUGGGGGCAUUAGUAUUCAGACGACAGAGGUGAAAUUCUUGGACCGUCUGAAGACUGACUACUGCGAAAGCAUUUGCCAAGAGUGUUG
rnacentral:rRNA from 1 species